GACGAACGCUGGCGGCGUGCUUAACACAUGCAAGUCGAGCGGUAAGGCUCCUUCGGGAGUACACGAGCGGCGAACGGGUGAGUAACACGUGAGCAAUCUGCCCAUCACUUCGGGAUAACUCCGGGAAACCGGUGCUAAUACCGAAUACGACCACUUCAGGCAUCUGACGGUGGUGGAAAGUUCCGGCGGGGAGGGAUGAGCUCGCGGCCUACCAGCUUGUUGGUGGGGUAAUGGCCUCCCACGGCUUCGCCGGGUAGGCGGCCUGAGAGUGUGACCGGCCACACUGGGACUGAGACACGGCCCAGACUCCUACGGGAGGCAGCAGUGGGGAAUAUUGGACAAUGGGCGAAAGCCUGAUCCAGCAACGCCGCGUGAGGGAUGACGGCCUUCGGGUUGUAAACCUCUUUCAGCGCCGACGAAGCGAAAGUGACGGUAGGCGCAGAAGAAGCACCGGCCAACUACGUGCCAGCCGCCGCUGUAAGAC
rnacentral:rRNA from 1 species